GAUGAACGCUGGCGGCGUGCCUAAUACAUGCAAGUCGAGCGAACGGACGAGAAGCUUGCUUCUCUGAUGUUAGCGGCGGACGGGUGAGUAACACGUGGAUAACCUACCUAUAAGACUGGGAUAACUUCGGGAAACCGUAGCUAAUACCGGAUAAUAUUUUGAACCGCAUGGUUCAAAAGUGAAAGACGGUCUUGCUGUCACUUAUAGAUGGAUCCGCGCUGCAUUAGCUAGUUGGUAAGGUAACGGCUUACCAAGGCAACGAUGCAUAGCCGACCUGAGAGGGUGAUCGGCCACACUGGAACUGAGACACGGUCCAGACUCCUACGGGAGGCAGCAGUAGGGAAUCUUCCGCAAUGGGCGAAAGCCUGACGGAGCAACGCCGCGUGAGUGAUGAAGGGCUUCGGAUCGUAAAACUCUGUUAUUAGGGAAGAACAUAUGUGUAAGUAACUGUGCAAAUCUUGACGGUACCUAAUCAGAAAGCCACGGCUAACUACGUG
rnacentral:rRNA from 1 species